GGCGAGGCUGAAAAGCGUAGUCGAUGGGCAACGGGUUAAUAUUCCCGUACUGGUGGUAACUGCGAAGGGGGGACGGAGAAAGCUAAAUCAUCCGGGCGACGGUUGUCCCGGUUUAAGCGUGCAGGUGGACUGACCAGGCAAAUCCGGUCGGUUGUUAACACUGAGGCGUGACGACGAGCCACCACGGUGGUGAAGUGAUUGAUGCUCUGCUUCCGGGAAAAGCCUCUAAGCUCCAGGUUACCAUUAAUCGUACCCCAAACCGACACAGGUGGUCAGGUAGAGAAUACUCAGGCGCUUGAGAGAACUCGGGUGAAGGAACUAGGCAAAAUGGUGCCGUAACUUCGGGAGAAGGCACGCUGGCAUUAGGUGAAGUGGUUUACCCACGGAGCUGAAGCCAGCCG
rnacentral:rRNA from 1 species